CUUUGGGAGGCCUAGGCUGGCAGAUCACCUGAGGCCAGGAGCUCGAGACCAGCCUGGCCAACGUGGUGAAACCCUGUCUCUACUAAAAAUACAAAAAUUAGCCAGGUGUGGUGGCGUGCACCUGGAAUCCCAGCUACCCAGGAGACUGAGGCAGGAGAAUUGCUGGAACCCAGGAGGCAGAGGCUUUGAGCUGAGAUCACGUCACUACUGCACUCCAGCCUGGGUGACAGAGCAAGACUCCCCCUAAAAUGAGAAAAAAAGAAAAGAAAAGAAAAGGAUAUAUCUAUGAUGAAUUAAGAUGGAGUGGAACCCACUGAUGGUAUGCAGCGGAUAAGAUGCUACAGAGAAAUGAUAUCCGGACACACGGUGAGAAUUUUUCCCCUCUGUAAAUCAUAAUUCUUGUGAUUCUUUCAAACGGAAAGCCACAGAAGGUACCAGUUAUCCACCCACCUACUUAGGCGCCUCCACUAGAAUUCUCAGCAUGUUUCUGCAGAACCUGGGCAACAAGAGUGAAACCCCACCUCAAAACAAAACGACGAUGACAACAACAGGACAGCAGAGAUGGACGAUGGGUCGGGAAAGCUAACCAGGCAGCGUGAGGCCAGGACAGAAAGAGGCACAGGGACCUCCACUCAGUUUUGCUACCGGGGAUCUCUCAGGCUCACAACGGGUCAGUCCUCUAGGGAAGUUCUGGCCUCAUCAUGAUCCUUCUUUCAUCUCAUUCCCCAUGUCCUUCCUCUGUCCCUCCUCCCACUGCCAUUUAUUUAUUUAACUGAAAAAGUACCAAUCACCCACAUAUGCAUAAAAUACUCAUCCAUGUACUUAUUUCUUAAAAUUGAUCAUUGUUAACAUUUGGUGUCAUUUGCUUUAUUUUUAAUGAAAGAAAUAAAACUUUACAGAAAA